UACAGAGGGGGCAAGCGUUAUUCGGAAUUAUUGGGCGUAAAGGGCGCGUAGGCGGCCUGACAAGUGGAAGGUGAAAUCCCUCGGCUUAACCGAGGAACUGCCCUCCAAACUGUUUGGCUUGAGUCCGGGAGAGGUGAGUGGAAUUCCCAGUGUAGCGGUGAAAUGCGCAGAUAUCAGGAGGAACACCAAUGGCGAAGGCAGCUCGCUGGGACGUGACUGACGCUGAGACGCGAAAGCGUGGGGAGCAAACAGG
rnacentral:rRNA from 1 species